UACGUAGGGUGCAAGCGUUAAUCGGAAUUACUGGGCGUAAAGGGCGCGUAGGUGGUUCUGUAUGUCUACCGUGAAAGCAUACAGCUCAACUGUAUUUUGUCGGUAGAAACUGCAGGACUUGAGGCUGGGAGGGGCUGGUGGAAUUCCCUGUGUAGCGGUGAAAUGCGUAGAGAUGGGGGAGAACACUCGUGGCGAAGGCGGCCAGCUAGACCAGUUCUGACACUGAGGCGCGACAGCGUGGGGAGCAAACAGG
rnacentral:rRNA from 1 species